rnacentral:rRNA from 1 species
ACUAUCGUUAACUGAAUACAUAGGUUAACGAGGCGAACCGUGGGAACUGAAACAUCUAAGUACCCCGAGGAAAAGAAAUCAACCGAGAUUCCCCCAGUAGCGGCGAGCGAACGGGGAGCAGCCCGGAGUCUGAAUCAGCUUGUGUGUUAGUGGAACGGUCUGGAAAGUCCGACGGUACAGGGUGAUAGUCCCGUACACGAAAAUGCACAUGCUGUGAACUCGAAGAGUAGGGCGGGACACGUGGUAUCCUGUCUGAAUAUGGGGGGACCAUCCUCCAAGGCUAAAUACUCCUGACUGACCGAUAGUGAACCAGUACCGUGAGGGAAAGGCGAAAAGAACCCCGGCGAGGGGAGUGAAAAAGAACCUGAAACCGUGUACGUACAAGCAGUGGGAGCNNNNNNNNGUGACUGCGUACCUUUUGUAUAAUGGGUCAGCGACUUAUAUUCUGUAGCAAGGUUAACCGUAUAGGGGAGCCGAAGGGAAACCGAGUCUUAACUGGGCGUUAAGUUGCAGGGUAUAGACCCGAAACCCGGUGAUCUAGCCAUGGGCAGGUUGAAGGUUGGGUAACACUAACUGGAGGACCGAACCGACUAAUGUUGAAAAAUUAGCGGAUGACCUGUGGCUGGGGGUGAAAGGCCAAUCAAACCGGGAGAUAGCUGGUUCUCCCCGAAAGCUAUUUAGGUAGCGCCUCGUGAACUCAUCUUCGGGGGUAGAGCACUGUUUCGGCUAGGGGGCCAUCCCGGCUUACCAACCCGAUGCAAACUACGAAUACCGAAGAAUGUUAUCACGGGAGACACACGGCGGGUGCUAACGUCCGUCGUGAAGAGGGAAACAACCCAGACCGCCAGCUAAGGUCCCAAAGUCAUGGUUAAGUGGGAAACGAUGUGGGAAGGCACAGACAGCCAGGAUGUUGGCUUAGAAGCAGCCAUCAUUUAAAGAAAGCGUAAUAGCUCACUGGUCGAGUCGGCCUGCGCGGAAGAUGUAACGGGGCUAAACCAUGCACCGAAGCUGCGGCAGCGACGCUUAUGCGUUGUUGGGUAGGGGAGCGUUCUGUAAGCCGUUGAAGGUGUGCUGUGAGGCAUGCUGGAGGUAUCAGAAGUGCGAAUGCUGACAUAAGUAACGAUAAAGCGGGUGAAAAGCCCGCUCGCCGGAAGACCAAGGGUUCCUGUCCAACGUUAAUCGGGGCAGGGUGAGUCGACCCCUAAGGCGAGGCCGAAAGGCGUAGUCGAUGGGAAACAGGUUAAUAUUCCUGUACUUGGUGUUACUGCGAAGGGGGGACGGAGAAGGCUAUGUCAGCCGGGCGACGGUUGUCCCGGUUUAAGCAUGUAGGCGGAGGUUCCAGGUAAAUCCGGUACCUUGUUAACGCUGAGGUGUGAUGACGAGGCACUACGGUGCUGAAGUGAUAAAUGCCCUGCUUCCAGGAAAAGCCUCUAAGCAUCAGGUAACACGAAAUCGUACCCCAAACCGACACAGGUGGUCAGGUAGAGAAUACCAAGGCGCUUGAGAGAACUCGGGUGAAGGAACUAGGCAAAAUGGUGCCGUAACUUCGGGAGAAGGCACGCUGAUAUGUAGGUGAAGUCCCUGCGGACGGAGCUGAAAUCAGUCGAAGAUACCAGCUGGCUGCAACUGUUUAUUAAAAACACAGCACUGUGCAAACACGAAAGUGGACGUAUACGGUGUGACGCCUGCCCGGUGCCGGAAGGUUAAUUGAUGGGGUCAGCGGCAACGCGAAGCUCUUGAUCGAAGCCCCGGUAAACGGCGGCCGUAACUAUAACGGUCCUAAGGUAGCGAAAUUCCUUGUCGGGUAAGUUCCGACCUGCACGAAUGGCGUAAUGAUGGCCAGGCUGUCUCCACCCGAGACUCAGUGAAAUUGAACUCGCUGUGAAGAUGCAGUGUACCCGCGGCAAGACGGAAAGACCCCGUGAACCUUUACUAUAGCUUGACACUGAACACUGGUCCUUGAUGUGUAGGAUAGGUGGGAGGCUUUGAAGCGUGGACGCCAGUCUGCGUGGAGCCAUCCUUGAAAUACCACCCUUUAAUGGCUGGUGUUCUAACGUAGACCCGUGAUCCGGGUUGCGGACAGUGUCUGGUGGGUAGUUUGACUGGGGCGGUCUCCUCCCAAAGAGUAACGGAGGAGCACGAAGGUUGGCUAAUCCUGGUCGGACAUCAGGAGGUUAGUGCAAUGGCAUAAGCCAGCUUGACUGCGAGCGUGACGGCGCGAGCAGGUGCGAAAGCAGGUCAUAGUGAUCCGGUGGUUCUGAAUGGAAGGGCCAUCGCUCAACGGAUAAAAGGUACUCCGGGGAUAACAGGCUGAUACCGCCCAAGAGUUCAUAUCGACGGCGGUGUUUGGCACCUCGAUGUCGGCUCAUCACAUCCUGGGGCUGAAGUAGGUCCCAAGGGUAUGGCUGUUCGCCAUUUAAAGUGGUACGCGAGCUGGGUUUAGAACGUCGUGAGACAGUUCGGUCCCUAUCUGCCGUGGGCGCUGGAGAAUUGAGGGGGGCUGCUCCUAGUACGAGAGGACCGGAGUGGACGCAUCACUGGUGUUCGGGUUGUCAUGCCAAUGGCACUGCCCGGUAGCUAAAUGCGGAAGAGAUAAGUGCUGAAAGCAUCUAAGCACGAAACUUGCCCCGAGAUGAGUUCU